rnacentral:sRNA from 1 species
UUGCAACGGCUAAUCCGUUGCAAAUGAAAAUUCCAGAAAAAAAAAACAUGGUUUGCAACGGAUUAUCCGUUGCAA